AGAGGGAUAGCUGGGUCAAAUGGUGGUUUUCCAAGGAAUCUCCAUACUGCUUUCCAGAUAGGUCGCACCAAUGUGCAGUCCCACCAGCAAU
rnacentral:pre_miRNA from 1 species